AGGCAUGACUCACAUCUCUAUCCAGUAUACAGCCCGGUCUGGUCUGAUCCUCCCCCCCCCCGGUCAGAGGGGCGUGGACCCCGACGGGGCUUCCUACUGGAGGACCUCCCUGACCCCAGGUGGACUGCUGUGGCUUUGCCACGAGCGGCUCCGAGUGUGCCAAUCCUGUGGACCUGCUGAGCGUGUCUGGGGGCCGGACCCCAGAGGGCCCGUGUAGCUGGUCCCACAGACACUGAGGCAUCCACUACACGUCCUCCUUCACGGACACCUGCGGCCGUUCUCCGGAAAGACGGAGCCACAGGACAGACGGCGUGACGGCGGCUCCAAGGCCGUGACCGCGAGGGGACGUACACUGCACCACAGCUCAGCAGGAUACGAAUGUGAACAACCAUCUGUGAGAGUGGUCCAGUGUUGAGGGAGAACGCUGCAGACGCUGUCCAUGAAUCAGGCUGCACGGAUCCUUUGGGGCUAUGGCACCCCAUAAUGUCACGCUCACGCAGAAGUCUCCAGACGGUACGGAGCAGCUGUAGGAUUCAGUUCUGAAGUGGAAGAGCACUUUUUGGCACCACACUGGCCAGAGUUUGUUGUAUUGGACUACAGAAAGCGUAGCUUCAUGUUCUCUUAAGAAUUGGGGUGAAGGAGGGUUGAGAUUUCCCUCCUCCCGCUCAACUCUUCAGAAUGAGAGAUCUUUUCAUUAAUGUUGUCAGACACUAAUAAUAACAUGAAGAAGUAUUAUCAGAUCAUAGUGCAAGUUUCAAGUGUGUUCUAUAGUUCUCGUCCUAUGCUUUAUUCAGGCGAGGUGGAUAAAUUACGUGAUGAACGCUCAACAUAUUUAUCAACUAAAAGUGGGGGUCAGAUGUCUGGCGCCAGGGAAAAUGUGUCCUCAGCUAACAGAGGGAACAACAUGAUGCAACACCAUAUCUACAUUUCUCAACAAACAAUCUGAGCCUGUCGGUGGCAAGAACAACAACUUUUAGAAUUUAGAGGAUGUACAUUGAUGGCUCGCUGUUGCUUGAAAUUGGAACAUUGCAGCUUGUUUCGCAGGUUACGGCUUGAGCAGUGACAUAUUAUAUCACCAGGUGUGAGUGUUAUUAGCCGUUACAAGCCGUUUUGAAAAUAUGCCUCUUCUGACAUCACAAGUGGGCUUGUCCACCUAGAUGUGUGCUGGAUAGUCUACCAAUCUACCCAGUGGACUGUCGCAAACUUUGCUUAUCUAUCCGUCAUACAUCUAGGUGGACACGCCAACUUGUGUUGUGAUGUGUGAAGAGGCCGUUUUUCAAAACGGCUUGUAGCUGCUAAUCACACUCACACCUGGUGGUAUAAUAUGUCACCUUUAAAGUCUUUGUUAAAUACUGGACAAAUUUAAAAAAUGGUUGUCCGCAAUACUCCCAAUGCACUCCGAAAUUAUGGGAAAACAGAGUCCAGGUAAAACAAAAUCCUUCAACGGUUGAACAAAAGGUAAACAUUGUUGCAGCACAGACCAGUGAGAAUGUAUCUUGUUAUGGAAAUAUGUCUUGUUUUGUGUCCAAUCACAAACCCUUAUUUUGGUUGAUUCUGUCAGGCUUCUGGUGGAUGACAUCUUGAUCAUUUGUCAUUUAACGAAGAUACAAUUCCUGAGGGGUUCAGCUAUAGAGCUAUUUCUGUAGCAACCUGCAUUUUCCUUAUAAAUGUGUCAUGGAAAUUGCUAGGAACAGGUACACAAUUUGCCUAAGCUAACAUUGAACAACAAUUACAACGUCUCAUAUUGUUGUUCAAUGGCCCUCACGUUUCCCUCAGGCCUGUACGCCUAGCAGAAAGAGUUCUUUGAUGUUAAGCCAGGAAUCAAAGCGUGUUUCAUUUUGACCCUAUUUAAUAACAUGGAUUAGGCUCCAGAAGUGCUUGUUCCGUCUAAGGUGUCAUUACGAGGUUUCCCCAUCCCCACGCCCAAAGACUGGUUUGAAGAAUUAAAUUCAUUAAAGGGGGCAUAUCAUACCACCAGGUGUGAGUGUGAUUAGCCAUUGAAAACGGCUUGUAAUGGCUAAUCACACCACUCACACCUGGUGGUAUGAUAGGUCCCCUUUAAGUGCUAAAGAUGUGUGAUGCAAUGCAAAUAAAAACAAUGCUCAUUAUUUUAUAUUUAAUUAUUAAUUGUGUUUAUUGUUUCGGUCUGUCUGUCUCUCUGUCUGUCUCCAUCAAUCUAUCCAGCAGUCAUCUAAAUGGUGUGUGUAUAAUAUAUUUUUUCACGUUGACAAAAUAAUACAGAACACAUUUAUAUUUUAACGUUGGUUACUAUCUCUACAUGAGUAUAUAUCAUUUAUACGAAGGCAGUAUGUAG